rnacentral:tRNA from 1 species
GCCUGGCUGGCUCAGUCGGAGGAGCAUGUGACUUUUGAUCUCAGGGUUGUGAGUUUGAGCCCCACGGCGGGUG